GACGAACGCUGGCGGCGUGCUUAACACAUGCAAGUCGAACGGAAAGGCCCUGCUUUUGUGGGGUGCUCGAGUGGCGAACGGGUGAGUAACACGUGAGUAACCUACCCUUGACUUUGGGAUAACUUCAGGAAACUGGGGCUAAUACCGGAUAGGAGCUCCUGCUGCAUGGUGGGGGUUGGAAAGUUUCGGCGGUUGGGGAUGGACUCGCGGCUUAUCAGCUUGUUGGUGGGGUAGUGGCUUACCAAGGCUUUGACGGGUAGCCGGCCUGAGAGGGUGACCGGACACAUUGGGACUGAGAUACGGCCCAGACUCCUACGGGAGGCAGAAGUGGGGAAUAUUGCAAAAUGGGCGGAAGCCUGAUGCAGCAACGCCGCGUGCGGGAUGACGGCCUUCGGGUUGUAAACCGCUUUCGCCUGUGACGAAGCGUGAGUGACGGUAAUGGGUAAAGAAGCACCGGCUAACUACGUG
rnacentral:rRNA from 1 species